UUGACAUCACAGACAACACAGCUACAGCAGGAAUUUACGGGAAAGGGCUACUGGAAGUAGACAGACAUGCAUUCAAACUUCCGCCCACCAUCGUAGACAUCCGCCAUCCUUGGAUCUUAAGGUCCCUAUUGAUGGAGUGGGAGGGCUGGAUAGGGAAAUAUUUAAUGUGAGAUGAGGAAGAAGUUGUGCCCAGCAAAUUAAAAGAGUCUGCAAAACAGACAGACAAAGUAGCUUCUCAAGAGGUCCAGCAAGUUAAAGAGAGUCCAAUCAAACCUAAAGAGAAAAAAGCAACUUCUGCACUUGAUUUCUUCAGUUCUACUCUAGUUAAAAGGGAAUCCAGGAAAACAUUUGCUAAUAAACGAAAACAG